AUUGAACGCUGGCGGCAGGCUUAACACACGCAAGUCGAGCGGAGCGAGGGUGCUUGCACCUUAGCUUAGCGGCGGACGGGUGAGUAAUGCUUAGGAAUCUGCCUAUUAGUGGGGGACAACAUUCCGAAAGGGAUGCUAAUACCGCAUACGCCCUACGGGGGAAAGCAGGGGAUCUUCGGACCUUGCGCUAAUAGAUGAGCCUAAGUCGGAUUAGCUAGUUGGUGGGGUAAAGGCCUACCAAGGCGACGAUCUGUAGCGGGUCUGAGAGGAUGGUCCGCCACACUGGGACUGAGACACGGCCCAGACUCCUACGGGAGGCAGCAGUGGGGAAUAUUGGACAAUGGGCGGAAGCCUGAUCCAGCCAUGCCGCGUGUGUGAAGAAGGCCUUUUGGUUGUAAAGCACUUUAAGCGAGGAGGAGGCUCUUAAGGUUAAUACCCUUGAUGAGUGGACGUUACUCGCAGAAUAAGCACCGGCUAACUCUGUGCCAGCAGCCGCAGUAAAAC
rnacentral:rRNA from 1 species